rnacentral:rRNA from 1 species
UGGGGAAUUUUGGACAAUGGGCGCAAGUCUGAUCCAGCCAUGCCGCGUGCGGGAAGAAGGCCUUCGGGUUGUAAACCGCUUUUGUCAGGGAAGAAACGAGUUUCUCUAAUACAGAGACCUAAUGACGGUACCUGAAGAAUAAGCUCCGGCUAACUACGUGCCAGCAGCCGCGGUAAUACGUAGGGUGCAAGCGUUAAUCGGAAUUACUGGGCGUAAAGCGUGCGCAGGCGGUUAUAUAAGACAGAUGUGAAAUCCCCGGGCUCAACCUGGGACCUGCAUUUGUGACUGCAUAGCUAGAGUACGGUAGAGGGGGAUGGAAUUCCGCGUGCAGCAGUGAAAUGCGUAGAUAUGCGGAGGAACACCGAUGGCGAAGGCAAUCCCCUGGACCUGUACUGACGCUCAUGCACGAAAGCGUGGGGAGCAAACA